CUACGGGACGCUGCAGUGGGGAAUCUUAGACAAUGGGCGCAAGCCUGAUCUAGCCAUGCCGCGUGAGUGAUGAAGGCCUUAGGGUCGUAAAGCUCUUUCGCCAGAGAUGAUAAUGACAGUAUCUGGUAAAGAAACCCCGGCUAACUCCGUGCCAGCAGCUGCGGUAAUACGGAGGGGGUUAGCGUUGUUCGGAAUUACUGGGCGUAAAGCGCACGUAGGCGGAUUAGAAAGUUAGGGGUGAAAUCCCGGGGCUCAACCUCGGAACUGCCUCUAAAACUCCUAGUCUAGAGUUCGAGAGAGGUGAGUGGAAUUCCAAGUGUAGAGGUGAAAUUCGUAGAUAUUUGGAGGAACACCAGUGGCGAAGGCGGCUCACUGGCUCGAUACUGACGCUGAGGUGCGAAAGUGUGGGGAGCAAACAGGAUUAGAUACCCCGGUAGUC
rnacentral:rRNA from 1 species